GAAAACAAUUGAUUAAUUAAGCUACAAGAAACUAAUAAAUUAAUAAAAACUAAUUAUAAAAGACAGUGCAUGUUAAUAUAAAAGGUGUUUGUGAAGAUAACCAUGGGCCUCAUGGCCCAAAUGGCUAAAAUUUAAUCCUAGAUUGAAAUGGUUUAAAAUAUGAUUAUUAUAGAAAAAUGAAAGAAGUAAAAAGAAAAAUUGGUACAUAGGGAGGAGGCCGACACUGACCUCAACGUGAUUCAAAAAUAAAUAAAACCUUUUUUUAAAAAAAAGUAAACAAAUAAGUUGAUUACCCACCAUAUUAAUUCAAAAUCCAUUUUGACCUUUCAAACAUGUAAAAACACAGACACUUUGUUUACAGGAUAAACCAAACAAACUCAUGAAAUCUCAAAAUAGAUUUUCUCCUUCUCUUAAACUCAAACACAAGUGCAGACUUGCCUCACUCUCAUUCUCAUGGAAGCAUCAUAUUUAUCAAUUAUAGCAAACAACUUUGAACAUUAAUGAAUCAAAAAUUAAAAGGAAAAGGGGGAUGCCCAAGAAAAUAUGGUGGUCGCAUGGAGGGAAGUGGUAUGCGUUCUCCGGCAGUCAGUAAGAUGGAGGCGGGCAGUAGACUUGAUACUAUGUGGUUGUGGUUCUCAAUCGGAAACCGCAAAGAUGAAGGUUUUUCGAUGUGGUGAUCAAGUGCAUUGCUCGGUUGAAACAAUUUUGGAACCAUAACCUUCUAUUACAUGGAGAUCACUACCGUCAAAAUGAAGUUUUUACUACAACACGACGGUGUUUUCCGCAACCAUUGCAGAUGCAACCGUCAAACCAUCGUCGAAUCAGUUUUGGAGGAUCACUGGUUAGUUAUAGUUUUUUUACCUGAGUGUGAAAUCUCUCAACUAACCAUGUGGUUCUUGAAGUUGGUUAUGGUUUUAUAAAUGGAUGAAAGGUGUUGUUUUAAGAAGAUGACGGAUCAGGGAGGUUAGGGAUGACAAAAUGUGAGGAGGUUUGAAGUUGUGUUUGAGUUGAAGUAUUUAAGUUGAUGGUUGUAUGGUUGAUAAUGAAAAAAAGUAGGUAGAGAGGUGUAUCAAGUUUUGUUUUUGUUCAUGUUUUCAUGGGGAUAUGGUAGUACGCAAUGUUGUUUAGUGUGGUUAAAGUGCUCUUUAGUGAGUAUGAAGUUGAAUGGUGGUUGAUUUAAAAAGUAGCAGUAAAGUGGUUUUGAGGCUUUAUGGUGUUAUGGAUGGUUAUUCAUGUUUAUAUGUUGGUGAGAGUUCUUGAGGGUUUCAUGGAGCAUUGUUUUCAUGAAAGGUUGGAGGAAAAUGGUUACAUGGAGAAUGGGCUUUUAUGGAGAUAUGUUAAAGAGGUUUAUGAGUCUCUUUAUUUGAUGAUGGAAGUUCACAUAGCACUUCUUCUGUUUCUUCCCAAUGUUGAGAAGGUGAUAUCAAAAAAAACGUAUGCGCCGCGUGGUUUUUUUUUUUCAUCAGCCUCUUUAGGAUUUAUAUAGUGUCAAAUUAGGGUUGCUUAAUUUGAGACAAAUACCAAAAUGUCCCUCUUUUCAAAGUUUUAGAACAAAAUAAGUUUUAAGAACUAAAUUAAAAUUAAAUAAAAUUAUUCUAAAAAAACUAUAUUAAACUGAAAUAAAGAUGUAGAAAAUUCUAAUUAAUUGUUACGGACAUUUUGACAGAGAAAUAAAAAUAAACAGACUUAAAAUAAAUAAACAUCGGACGCAAAAGUGCUUGAAAAA
rnacentral:lncRNA from 1 species